rnacentral:piRNA from 1 species
UGGUGGAUGUACUGGUGACCACUGCUG